rnacentral:rRNA from 1 species
AUUAGAUACCCGCGUAGUCCUAGCCGUAAACGAUACUCGCUAGGUGUCGGCCACGGUGCGACCGUUGUCGGUGCCGUAAGGGAAGCCGUGAAGCGAGCCACCGUGGGAAGUACGGCCGCAAGGCUAGAAACUUAAAGGAAUUGGCGGGGGAGCACAACAACGGGUGGAGCUUGCAGUUUAAUUGGAUUCAACGCCGGAAAUCUUACCGGGACCGACAGCAACAUGAAGGCCAAGCUGAAGACUUUGCCGGAUUAGCUG